ACGCUAGCGGGAGGCCUAACACAUGCAAGCCGAGCGGUAUUUGUUCUUCGGAACAGAGAGAGCGGCGUACGGGUGCGGAACACGUGUGCAACCUGCCUUUAUCUGGGGGAUAGCCUUUCGAAAGGAAGAUUAAUACCCCAUAAUAUAUGAUACGGCAUCGUAUUAUAUUGAAAACUCCGGUGGAUAGAGAUGGGCACGCGCAAGAUUAGAUAGUUGGUGAGGUAACGGCUCACCAAGUCAAUGAUCUUUAGGGGGCCUGAGAGGGUGAUCCCCCACACUGGUACUGAGACACGGACCAGACUCCUACGGGAGGCAGCAGUGAGGAAUAUUGGACAAUGGGUGAGAGCCUGAUCCAGCCAUCCCGCGUGAAGGACUAAGGCCCUAUGGGUUGUAAACUUCUUUUAUACUGGGAUAAACCUACUUACGUGUAAGUAGCUGAAGGUACAGUAUGAAUAAGCACCGGCUAACUCCGUGCCAGCAGCCGCGGUAAUACGGAGGGUGCAAGCGUUAUCCGGAUUUAUUGGGUUUAAAGGGUCCGUAGGCGGAUCCGUAAGUCAGUGGUGAAAUCUCAUAGCUUAACUAUGAAACUGCCAUUGAUACUGCGGGUCUUGAGUGAGAUUGAGGUAGCUGGAAUAAGUAGUGUAGCGGUGAAAUGCAUAGAUAUUACUUAGAACACCAAUUGCGAAGGCAGGUUACCAAGUCUUAACUGACGCUGAUGGGCGAAAGCGUGGGGAGCGAAC
rnacentral:rRNA from 1 species